AGCGAACGCUGGCGGCAGGCCUAAUACAUGCAAGUCGAACGGCUCUUCGGAGCAGUGGCGGACGGGUGAGUAACGCGUGGGAAUGUGCCCUUUGCUACGGAACAACACAGGGAAACUUGUGCUCAUACCGUAUGCGCCCUUCGGGGGAAAGAUUUAUCGCCGUUGGAGUAGCCCGCGUUGGAUUAGGUAGUUGGUGAGGUAAAGGGUCACCAAGCCUACGAUCCAUAGCUGGUCUGAGAGGAUGACCAGCCACACUGAGACUGAGACACGGCCCAGACUCCUACGGGAGGCGGCAGUAGGGAAUCUUGCGCAAUGGGCGAAAGCCUGACGCAGCCAUGCCGCGUGUAUGAUGAAGGUCUUAGGAUUGUAAAAUACUUUCACCGGGGAAGAUAAUGACGGUACCCGGAGAAGAAGCCCCGGCUAACUUCGUGCCAGCAGCCGCAGUAAGAC
rnacentral:rRNA from 1 species